rnacentral:lncRNA from 1 species
UGUGUUUGCCUCAGGGUUGAGAUCUUUUAAAUGUGCAGUCGGCUUUAACAAUGAUCAUAAAGUUUCUCUACUCAGUUACAUCUCAAGUAUUCCAGUGGCUGAAUGUUAUUUAUAUUUAGAACAUUCUAGAACUUUCUUUCACAUUUCCCAUUCAUUACAGAGUCUGCUGGCUCCUUUAUGUACGGUAUUUCUCCCAUCAGUUUUUACAAGUAGUUCAGAAGAAAAGCUCUAUCACGGUAGCCAGUAUAAAAGACCAUUGCUUGGAAGCCAUCUGCCACUGGCCAGUUCCCACAGAGCAGGGAUAGAGACUAGUUAAAUAUGCAAAUACCUGUGAUUGAACCCUUUGACCCUGUCUCACAUAGUAAGGGGGCAUUGCAAGUAGGUUUCAGGUAAGGAUUUAGAGCCAAGAGAGUACCUAAGAGUCUCCACUUGAGUCCUGUGCAGUCACCAAUGUCCUUCUUAGAGGGAGACACAAAAUUCAGAGUUUCAGAGGGUGGAGUGGCUGCAGAAGCCAAAAUGGAGAAGGAAAUAUUUGAGAAUGGUACACUAUUGACUUUGAAGAUGAAGAAAGGUGACACAAGCCAAGAAGGACAUCAGCCUCCAAGAGUUUCAGAAGUGACAGUCCCAGGACCCACAUGUUGUCCUCUCACUUCUCUAUGUGUGUAGUGAUGUGCCUCUCCUAUGAAAUAACAAAUUAAAAUGUAAUAAGGAUACCUCAACUAUCUACAGUGCUCUCUCAGACAUGGUCCCUCUGAGAACUGUGGUAACGUUUCCCCUGCACUGGCCCUUGUCUGUCCCUUGUGAGUCCUGUGGUGAGUCACAGCCACAGGUUAGCCCACUUGCACUGCACCAGGCCCUCAGGUGAGGAUUUGCCAGCUGACAGUUGCCCCAUGCUGGUGAGCAUGGUCAGCUGAAAUCCGAACCCACACCAUACACAGAGUAAUGCAGUUCUCAGGAAAUGGAUGAUUUAUUUAUUUUCAGCCUAAAGUUUAAACACUUUAAUGUACCUCCCAAGAUGUUUACCUGGCUCAGAAAAGUGCAAGGAACCCACAGAGCACUCAAGAGCCAACUGCCUCUGGGACCCACCUGCAGGGAGCUAGCCUCCUGCAGGGAGCCAGCCUGCUCCCCCCAGUGCUGAAGGAAUGACAGAGAAAAUGAAAGCUAGGGAAAAUGGCAUCAGAAUUAUCCUUGGGGAUGGCUUUGGGGCGGUUACCCCAGAUGCCGGUGGGUGAGUGCGAAGGGCAGGUGCUUACACUUGCUGGGGAUGGGGAAAAGGAAAACCCGGUUCAAAUUUGCUAAAGUGUUGGCGGCACACGCUGUCUGAGGCUUUGUUUUAGUAAGAGUCACUAGUCAUAAAUAAAUAGGUUACUGCUGGAAAAUCAGUGCCUUCUUUAUUUGUUUAAGUGUUGAUGUUUUCAAGGUUGGGUUGGAAAGUCUGAUAUCACUUCCUGCUGCUGCAAGAUUCUCUUCCUGAGUCCAUUCCACUCUCUUACCUGGGUCUCACCCACUAACAUUCACCUGGCAGAUUUGCUAGUAGCAGGUCUGGGGCUCACUCACUGGUCACAAGUGUAUUGUCUACAUGCAGGAUGCCCAUUAGCCAAAUCACAGACUGCUGUGAGACUCGAGACUUGAAGUCCAGAUGCAUCUCUGCAUUCGUGUGUGUGUGUGUGUGUGUGUGUGUGUGUGUGUGUGUGUGUGCACCUUGCUUAGGUGUGAGGACCUAUGCUGUGAUGGGGGUCAUCACUGUGGAGGCAGAAAUGCUUUUUUAAAAUCAGUUUCCCUAGACAGUAAGAGAGCUCAGCCAUGCCUCCCUUGUCCCCCUGUCCUUCAUGAGUGAGAUUCUUUGACUCCUUUGUACCUCCAGGCCCUCAAGCUGGUCCAUCUUAGUCUAGUGCCUUACUGGGCUUGCUCAUGGCUUGGUUUCAUUCUCAGGAAAUCAGGCAGAGAGAAAAAGCAACUAGAUACAAUUUUUUCAUCCUGAAUUGAGACGACAAAAUGUGUAUCCGUUCUGGUAAUAGACAUAUGCACCGCCAUGCCCUUUGUGCACACGGUGGCCGGUACAUUCCAGACUGUCUGCUUCUUCGUAAGCGCCUUUUGUUUGUUUGUAGGUGUGGAGGCAUCAACCCAGGUUCCGGUUUCGAGACCUGCAUUUCCUGUUGCCUCUCAUGCUGUUGGUGUGGCUUUGUCGUGGCUUAGCAGUGAGCCUGUCUGACCUGCGCCACUUCUCUUGGCCCUCACUACUCCUGCUUUUAGGUCCCUGUGUUUCAGGCUUGCAUCCUUGACAUUCUUGUGGGGCUUCUUUCCCCAUCCCUUACCUUUAUAUCUCAUAAGUUGCUGCGUCUUUAACCAUUUCCUGAUCUCACCCUCCACCCCAUCCCGUGCCUUCCUCUUUUAAAAUCUCUGUGUGUAUGUGUCCCUGUGUGCUUGUGUGUGCCCAUGUAUGUGUCCAUGCCUGUGUGCAUGCCUGGAUACUGUGAAUGUAGCUGCAGACAGAUCAGGGCACUUGUGAGCUCAGAGGUUAAUCGUGGUGCAGGGCUUCAUCUUCCAUCUUGUUUCUCACUGCUUAUGCCAGGCUAGCUAGCUUUCGGGGACUCUUCUGUCUCUGUCCUCACAUGUCCUGGUAGGAGUGCUCGAAUUAUAGACAUGCUGCCCAGCUUCUGUCUUGCUUUUUCACCUGCCAUGACACUCGAAUAAUUGCUAUUACUUAGCUGGUUACCCGCUUCGAGUCAAUCACCCUGAGAUGUUGGUCUUCAUCCCCAACUUGACUAGAUUUAGAAUCACGUAGGAGGUACACAUCUAAGCACAUCUGUGGUGUUUUCAGAUAAAUUCAACUGUGUAAGGAAGAUCCAGUUACAUGUGGGCAACGGCAGCCAAUGGGCUGGGGCCUGAGAAUCAGCAUUCAUCCGUUUCUUGACUGUGUGACAGCCUGAAUCCAACCUCAGUGUGCCUCUGUCAGAUUAACAGGAUAGCUGGAAGUCCCGCUGGCCAUCGGACACUCGUUCAUUAGGUGCUAACUAUGUGUCAGGCACUGGGUACUGGGAUGCGAUGGUGAACAAGACAGCCACAGACCAGCUCUCCUUGGAAACUGAGCUCAGAGGUGGAAACCAACCUAAAUAAACGAACUUGCCAGCCAGUGGGUAGAUGAGGCUGAACCAAUACAUACUGGGUCUGCAUGUGGAAGAAUGAGGCUUGCAGCCAACGGCCGUCCACAUCUCUGAUGAGGAUCAGGUAGGUAAGGACGAGUGGAGGCUGACCAAAGCAGAGCAGCCAAGGACUUGGUCCUAGAAGCCAGGGACAGAGCUUCUGUCAUCUUUAGGAACUCAGAGGACUGAAUGGAGGUGGGGCUGUCAGGCUGGGUGGGUGGUCAACCAUUACAGAAAGUCAGGACAGACAACCGCAUGGUGGCGCUCCUUCAGUUCAAUGGAGGGAGUAAGAAGCCUGGCCAAGGUCCAGGCAGCUGUUGGAGUUACUCCUGCUGAGGCAGACUGGCUGAUGAGGCAGGAAAGCUCUUUUUUUUUUUUUUAAACAAAUGGGGUUCUCCAUGGUGGCCCAAUGGCAAGUUUAAUAAACUAUGACAGCAUCUCACCUCUGUUCCUCUGCCAACCCAUAUGCUGUAUCCUGUCUCUUGGCGAGCUGAUUAGGAGAGCAGGUUCAGGAGGCAGGUCACCUCCAUGAAGUCAUCAGAGAGCCCCUGAGUUAAUGAUGGCUCCAAGCAACGAGGCUCAAACUUUUUCCAUCCACAGCUCAGUGCUGGCAAAGCAAAAGACCUCACAUGUUCCCACUUACUGAGCCAGAAACCCUUCCUUCUAGAGUGAAACUUACCAUCAGUGACCAGUUAUUAUGACCGCUCCUCUCCAUGUCCCUUUGACGCCUCUGUUCCCCUCAUCUUGUAAAACCACACCCAUGGUCGAGUCCACUCUUUCUUUUAAUCCAUGCUUGUUUGGAAGUCAGGGGGACACCAUGACAGUGUUGAAUGUUCUCAUCCAGAUCAUGCCCACGGGUUGUCACACUCUAUGGCCUGAGCACAUCACCCUCCCACUCGCCAAGAGACAGACUAUACCUUCACUUCUCCCUUCAGACCCCUAACACCUUCCUCUUCAUCAUUCCUCCUGAUGGGUGACCCUGCUUCCCUUCCUGUCUUCAUGGGCAGAACACAUUCCUCCUCCCACCACCACCCACCCUUGUGUCCUCUGUUUUCUUGACAAUAUCAGGGAUGAACUUGCUACGUGCUUCUGCAAAGCCGACCUCUCCACCUGUGUGCCACCCGUCCUGUCUCAGCUGGCCAAGGACAUCACUGCUGCCCCAUUUCCUACUCUCUCCUACAUCUUCCUCCUCCAUCAUCCCUAUCAGCCUACAUACAUGGGAUUGUGACUUGUAGCUUUAAAAAUGCCUUCUUCUGGCCUCACUUUACCCAAAACUUUCUUGUGUGCUCCCAAUGUCACAAAACUGCUCUAGAAAGUUCUCUGUGUUUCACUUUUACACCUUGUCUCCUCCCAUGUCUCUUAGGCAGACUCAUUCAGCCUUUUGUCUCUGCGCCCAUCAUGCCUUUGUCAUCAUGUGUUUCUGGGCCUGGGUCGCCUUGACUGUGUUUCACACAGGACGUCCUUCCCUCUGGGGCUGUUUUCUCCCGUGCCCUCAGAACAAUGGUCUCUUUGUUUUCAGUCUCUGGAACUGCUGCUUCUCAGCCUUCUUUGCUGGCCUUUUUCAUUUCCUUGGUCCUUUAAGGCUGAGUCUUCAUCCACAACCAUCACUGUCUUGAUUGGUGCAGUUCCAGUCUUCUAGUUGCCCAGGCUCAUCACCCCCAUGGUUACCACCCUGGCUGGGACCGUAUCGAUGUUCAUCUGGACCCAUGACUGUUAGAGAGAGAGAGAAACACACACACACACACACACACACACACACACACACACACACACAGAAUACAACAGAUCAUGGCAUUCUUCAUUCCUCUUUAGAUCUUCUAGUUGCUCUUCAUAUCCCUGAGGUUUUAUGGGAGACUUUAUCCAGCUGGGCCACCCAACUCCACCUCCAAACUCCAAACUCCUCUUCUACCCUACCUCUGUCAACUCCAUGCCAACCACAGAUCUGCUUGUAGCUCCUCAACACCGUGGGGAUUGGUCCCCAGCCAUUCCCAUGAUCCCCUCCCUCCCUCCCUCCCACUCUCCUGCUUUCUCCCCCUCCCCUCUCAAGCCUUUGCUCAGUGUUGCCAUGUCUGCAUCUUCUGUGCUAUCCGUAUGUGCUAUACCCGAUUCUGUUUCCAUGGUAAUCCUCCCACUCUGGCGUCCUGUAUGCAUAUUUAUUUAUUCUCAAAUGUUUAUUACCUUGGGUUUCCAACACUUGCAUAUUAGCUCCACGAGGACAAGGACUUUUGACUUUUCGUUUUGUUCAUGAAUGCCAGGGACCUAAAGCUACGGCUAGCACAUGGCAACAAAAGUAUUUGUUGACGAUUGAACAGAAAGAUUAGUCUAGCUGUGAAGCGCCUGCAGUAACAGAUAGGUGCCACUCAGUUCUCCAUUUACCCCCUGGCUGUCCAUCAGCUUCGGCAUCCAACAGGUACGGUUUUGAUUACUUUCAUCCAGUUCUUUGGAUUGUGGAAAAAUGUGUCCGCCCUGAAAGAACUUUUGAUCAUCUAAGUUAGAAUUAAGUGUGUAGCCCUUAUCACACUGGGGAAUUGGUAUCACGGGUAGUAGUAAUUAUGAAUUUAAGAACAAAGAGGCUUUGAGCCCCCCCUUCCCCCCAUCCCGCUCAUUGCAAGUCCUGCAGUGCUGAGGAUCUGCCUUUGACAGCCCUGGAAACUCAGUAGCCUGAGAGAGGAACUGUUGUUCUUUUGCCUGUUUGCCUUGAGACAAAGACUU